GUUUGAGCAAUGGAGGGACGCAGAAGGAUAGAAGAAGCGUGCGAUUGGUUGUGCACGUCCAAGCAGUUAGGCUGAUAAGUAGGCAAAUCCGCUUAUCGUGAAGGCUGAGCUGUGAUGGGGAAGCUCCUUAUGGAGCGAAGUCUUUGAUUCCCCGCUGCCAAGAAAAGCUUCUAGCGAGAUAAAAGGUGCCUGUACCGCAAACCGACACAGGUAGGCGAGGAGAGAAUCCUAAGGUGUGCGAGAGAACUCUGGUUAAGGAACUCGGCAAAAUGACCCCGUAACUUCGGGAGAAGGGGUGCUUUCUUAACGGAAAGCCGCAGUGAAUAGGCCCAAGCGACUGUUUAGCAAAAACACAGCUCUCUGCGAAGCCGUAAGGCGAAGUAUAGGGGGUGACACCU
rnacentral:rRNA from 1 species